rnacentral:lncRNA from 1 species
AGAACUUCCAGCUUCUGCUGAUGGUGUAGGCAUCUGGAAAAUGUGUCUUUAUUAAAAUUACAUUUAAAAACGAGUGAUAUUCAGGGUCAUGACUUUCUGAACCCAUCAGAGAGCUGAAUUGCAGGGCAAUUAAAUAGUUUAAAAUGAAGGAAAGAGAGGUGCCUCCUACAAUAACAGAGAUGGGCUGCAAACAUUGGAUGACCUGUGGCAGAGCACGGAAAGAAGGCAAGGAUGACAGCUACAUGCAGACAAGGUCUCCAGAUUUGCCACCCAUGCUGAGUGCCGUGGUGUGAUCAUGGCUUAUUUCAACCUCAACCUCCCCCACUCAAGCGAUCCUCCUGCCUCAGCCUCUGGAGUAGCUGGGACUACAGGCACGCACCACCACACCCAGCCAUAAUUUGCCUCUUGCUGUAACUAAAAGGUCACAAAAACAAAGAAUUCUAAAAAAUCUUCUUCUUAAGUGUGCCUCACUACCACAAAUUAUGCAGUCAAGUCUCCCAUAUUUGGGGACAUCGCAGGGGUCAGCAUGUCCAGAGUGCAAUGGAUAAGCCUUGCCCUGGGAAAACCACCUUCGUGAUCAUGGUUAUCUCCCCUGCCAGAAAGAGAUUUAAAAGAACACCUGAAGGGAAAUAAGAAGAGAAACAGAAUAUGAAGAGGAUUCAACCAAAUAGAGCCAAUGAAGGAGACAGAGCAACUUAAAUAAUAAGAGCAAUUUUAAAAAAUGGGACAAAAAGGAAAGGAUACUCAGUGCAUAGUUGAUGGCUUAAGAAAAUAAGAUUUUUUUAUAUUAUACUUUAAGUUCUAGGGUACAUGUACACAACAUGCAGGUUUGUUACAUAUGUAUACAUGUGCCAUGUUGGUGUGCUGCACUCAUUAACUCGUCAUUUACAUUAGGUGUAUCUCCUAAUGCUAUCCCUCCCACUUCCCCCACCCCAUGACAGGCCCUGGGGUGUGAUGUCCCUCACCCUGUGUCCAAGUCUUAUUGUUCAGUUCCCACCUAUGAGUGACAACAUGCAGUGUUUGGUUUUCUGUCCUUGUGAUGGUUUGCUCAGAAUGAUGGUUUCCAGCUUCAUCCAUGUCCCUACAAAGUAGGACACGAACUAAUCCUUUUUAUGGCUGCAUAGUAUUCCAUGGUGUAUAUGUGCCACAUUUUCUUAAUCCAGGCUAUCGUUGAUGGACUUUUGAGUUGGUUCUAAGUCUUUGCUAUUGUGAAUGGUGCCGCAAUAAACAUACAUGAACAAAAAAAGUCCUUUUUUCAUGAUGUUCUCUUAUUUCUUGCUGAAAUAAAUGAAAAGAUUCAGUAUGUCCAAGUAUCCUUUAUAGCUAGGACCAGUGGUAUAGGAAGCUAGCCUCAAACUGUUUAUAAUAAAUAUGCAGGGAAAUCCAGAUAUUAGAAAGUCCAAUGAUAAAUCCAGUAUAAAUUUAUCAUAAUACAUAUUAAAAAAUAAAGCAAAUAAAAGCACCAAAAAGCCAACUAGAGCUAACAAACAAGUUUGCCAGAUCACAGAAUACAAAAUGAACAUAUAAAAAUAAAUAAAACCCAGUCACAAUAGUAUCAAAGACAAUAAAAUACUUAAGAAUAAAUUUAACAAAAGAAGUGUAACACUUGUAUGCUGAAAACUACAAAAUAAUGAUGAGAGAAAUUAAAAAUCUAAAUGAAUCAAGACACAUUCUAUAUUUAUGGUUGGAAGUCACAAUAUGUUAAAAUACCAUUUCUACCUUAAUUUAUCUGUCAAUUUCAACAGAAUCCAUUUCAAAGUCGCUGUGAGCUUUUUUUGUAGAAAUUAAAUGUUGAUCCAACAAAUUUAUACAGAAAUGAAAGUACUUGAAGCUUGAACCGUUUUCAAAAAAAUGAACAAAGUUGUAGGACUCAUAUUGCCUAAUUUAAAAAAUUACUAUAAGGUUGUAAUCAAGACAUUAUGAUAUACAUAAAGGAAUAGGUUAGAUCAGUGAAACAGUGUCAGAGUCAAGAAAUUUACCCCUACAUUCAUGGUCAAUUGCUUUCCGAAAAAACUGCCAAUUCAAUUCAGUUUGGAAAAGAUUGUCUUUUUACCAAAUGGUGGCAAGACAAUUUAAUAUCUACAUAAAAAAAUAAGAAGAAGAAGGAGAAGGAGGAUGAGGAGGAGGGGAUGGAGGAAAAGCUUCAUCCUUACCUCCUCAUGCCAUACACAGAAAAGAACUCAAAAUGCAUUACAGACCUAAAUGUAAAAUCCAAUAAUAGAAAGCUUCUAAAAGAAAACACAGGAGAAAAUCUAUAUGACCUUGAGUUAAACAAAGAGUUUUAGACGUGACAGCAAACACACAAUCUAUAAAAGAAAAAGAAAAAAUAAAUUAUAUUUCAAUAAAAUUAAAACAUUUUGUACUUCCAAAGAUACCAUUCAGAAAAUAAAAAGACCAGUUACAGACCAGGCAAAAACAUUUCCAAAUCGUAUAUCUGAUAAAAUACUUGCAGCUUAAAUGUAUUAAGAACUCUUAUAUCUCAGUAACAGACAACUCUAUAUUAAAAUGGACAAAAGGGUUUUUUUUAACAAAGAAGACAUAUGCAUGGUUAAUAAGCACAUAAAAAGGUGUUCAACAUCAUUAAUCAUUUUGGCAGUUUCUUAAAAAGUAAACUAUGAGCUUAUCAUAGAUUCCUACAAUUUUUCUCCUAGAAAUCUACUCAGUAGAAUAUGUGUAUCCACACGAGGACUUGGACAUAAGCACAUACUGCAGAAUUAUUCGUAAUAGCCAAAAAUGGCAACGUUCCAAAUGUCUAUCAACUGAUGAAUGAACCAACAAAAUGUGGUAUAUCUAUGCAGUGAAAUGGUAAUCAUGAUAAAUGACAUGAAUGAACUGCUGACAUAGUCCAUGACAUGGAUAAAGCUAAACUAUACUAAGCCAGGCAUUGGAAAACUUUUUUCUUAAAGGGCCAAAUAGUAAAUGCUUUAGGCUUUUCAGGUCCUAUUGUCUCUGUCAAUAACUCAAUUCUAUUGUUCCACAAAAGCAGCCAUAGACAAUGCAUAAACACAUGAGCAUGGCGUGUACCAUGAAAACUUUACAAAAAGAGACAGCAUGCCCACAACCCAUAGUUUGCCCCAAUCUGUGCUAAGUAAAAGAAAGAAAAUGCAAAAGUCUACAUAUUAUAUUAUUCCAUUUACAUUACAUAUCCAGAAAAGGCAUAUUACAAGAAUAGAAAACGGUGGAUUCCUGGGUCUGGAUGAGAGAACUGAGAUUGACUGGAAAUGGACUUGGGGAAAGUUUUAGGGGGAUAUAGUAAUUUUGUAAUCAUGGAUUAUGGUGAUUCCAGCACCGCUAUAUAAAUUUACUAAAUAUCAUUAAAUUUUCCACUUACAAUGAGCAAAUUUUGUGGCAUGUAAUUUAAACCUCAAUAUAGCUGUAAUGAAUAAACAAAAAGAAAAAUCAAGACUAAAUAAAAUAAGCAAUUGUUCAAUUCCUAUCAUUGGAAAAUGGAAAAGUAAGAAAUAUUUACAGAAAAUAACUUAAAUGUCCUUCUUGCUACUGUUGUAAGAAAAAGCAAAUAUUGGCAGUUAAUUAUGAAAAUAUUUCUCAUGAACUCAUGACCAAAAAUGAAGAGAAAUUUCAGAAAAUUUGCCUGCUCUGUCUGAUUGAUUUGUCGGCUUCUGAAUGAUCCUCUCCAGUCUCUCGAUAACUAGCAAGAUUUACAAGCUCUGCCAAUGUCAAUUGUCACCCACGUUGCAGAAUAUUCAGCAUAGUCUGAAGACCCUGGUCAAAGGGGAAAAUAUAAUAGAUUUUCAAUAAGUUGGUGUUGACAACUAGUAAAAUGACUAUACUUUUAAAAUUUAAUUAAUAUAUGUAAAAGUAGUAGUAGCUGAACUGUCAUAUUCUG